AGAAUCAACGCUGGCGGCGUGCCUAACACAUGCAAGUCGAACGAGAAAGUGGAGCAAUCCAUGAGUAAAGUGGCGACCGGGUGAGUAACACGUGACUAACCUACCUUCGAGUGGGGGAUAACCUCGGGAAACCGAGGCUAAUACCGCAUAACAUCGCAAGAUCAAAGCAGCAAUGCGCUGGAAGAGGGGGUCGCGGCUGAUUAGCUAGUUGGCGGGGUAAUGGCCCACCAAGGCGAAGAUCGGUAGCCGGCCUGAGAGGGCGCACGGCCACACUGGAACUGAAACACGGUCCAGACUCCUACGGGAGGCAGCAGUGGGGAAUUUUGCGCAAUGGGGGAAACCCUGACGCAGCAACGCGCGUGGAGGAUGAAGCCCCUUGGGGUGUAAACUCCUUUCGACCAAGACGAUAAUGACGGUACUGGUGGAAGAAGCACCGGCUAACUCUGCGCCAGCAGCCG
rnacentral:rRNA from 1 species